rnacentral:rRNA from 1 species
AUGCAUGGCUUCCCGCCGGCCGGCGAGCUGAGCUGCUCCUCGAACGGCGGUCACGUACGCCAAGGGAGCGCGCGCGUGCGUGCGUGGCCAGGCUACGGCUUGGUGCGGCGGGCGGUGUCGGGCGGGGCGGAGGCGAGGCGGGAGGCGAUGGCGGAGUGGUACAUGACGUCGUGGAAGCUCUCCGUCUCCAUCAUCCGCAGCCGCAGCUGCCGCGCCUUCUCCUCCGUCAGCACCCCGAACCGCCUCUUCCCCCGCUCCUCCUUCGGCGCCGGUUCGGCCGCCGGCUGGGGCUCGAUGUAG